rnacentral:lncRNA from 1 species
AUAUACCAAAAAAGGCACAUCUUUUACAGACAAACACAGUACUGGUUCCAGCCAUUUGGUAGCAUUGUCCCUCAUCUCUCCAUGGGGUUCAAGGAUUCUUGAACAAUUCAUCCCCAGUUUUUGAAUCAUUAAACGUUUUUGACCUCACUGGGGACAUCUUUCUCCUUCAUUGUCUUUCUAAGAAUUUAUAAGUUCACCUCAUCCGGGAGGCAGCACUAGGAACUGCUGCUGCAUAAGGACACGCCAUUUUUCUCCUUUCUUGCCUCUUUCUUGGGUGAUCUUGGUUUUGUCACUGCUCUGGAAGACCUGUGAAUACGCGUGCAAAAAAAAAGGGAGGCAGCACUAGGAACUGCUGCUGCAUAAGGACACGCCAUUUUUCUCCUUUCUUGCCUCUUUCUUGGGUGAUCUUGGUUUUGUCACUGCUCUGGAAGACCUGUGAAUACGCGUGCAAAAAAAAGGUUCAGUAGUUGUUCCAUAUGUA